rnacentral:rRNA from 1 species
AACCUACGGGAGGCAGCAGUGAGGAAUAUUGGUCAAUGGGCGAGAGCCUGAACCAGCCAAGUCGCGUGAAGGAGGACUGUCUUAUGGAUUGUAAACUUCUUUUGUAGGGAAUAAAGACCGGUACGUGUACUGGAGUGAAUGUACCCUACGAAUAAGCAUCGGCUAACUCCGUGCCAGCAGCCGCGGUAAUGGUU